CCUCUGGACAUGUCACUUGAAGAAGGUGAUGGGCAUCUCAUUUGGAAAUAUAGGGAACUGCGUCUGGAUGACUGCCGCUUCCAGCGCUUCUUCAGGCUAACCAGGAGCCAGUUUGAUGACCUGUUGGCUCGGAUCGGUGCUUGGAUCUCUCGGUUGGACACCAAUUACAGGCGUUCAAUCUCAGCUGCGGAGCGCUUGUCCAUCUGUCUCCGCGUACCACGUGUCAGGAAAUAAACAAGAAGACAAAUCUGCGAGCACAAGUUUAAAGUAAAUAUCACAAACGAAACCACUCCAGUGGUACAUUCUUACUAUUGUACAUUGUUCCUGUUUAUAAUGGUGCUAAACAAAAAGGAGUUAAUUUCCCGACCCAUCAGUGAGAUUGACUGUGUGUAGCAUUGGGUCCUCCUCUGCUGCUGUGUCAUGUUAUCGCUUCUCGGCCUUUUGGCUAAGAUCAAGUGGUGGAAGCAGAGAACUACUAUAUAGUGAGUUCCAACGGUGACAGGGCAAUGGCCGCGUACGAGCAGCAGAUUCCAAAGUUUGGGCUGAGGUACACGCUACGGUUCCGGGCAAAGACAGGAGAGGAGAAAGUUCUGUCAAGAGUGUUCUUUGGGAAAGAAGUCAUCAUCGGACAACUGCGCUUGAAGAUCGAGGAGGUUUGCUGCAUCCAGUGGAACCAGCAGGAGAAAAGUUUCGAUGUAACCCUGUUUGACGAUUGCA